rnacentral:lncRNA from 1 species
UUUUUUGAUCGUGGGGAGCUGCUUGGAGGUCUUAUGAAAGGUGAUAAAUUGACUAGUGGAACUGACCAAGCGGCUUUGAGCUGCCCAUUCUUGAGGAACACAGGGUAGCCUAGCGUUGAUGGGUAUGCAUGAAUUGCAGCGUUUAGCUUUGAUGGGAAUGCAUGAAUUUUAGUGUUUGAGAAAUAAAACUGAUGGAUCAUUACAUAAUAUAGAAUAGUGAUCUUCCAUUUACUUCUGCUGAUUCACUUAUGCCUGCCAUCUAUAUGUAUCUGUAGAAAUUGAGAUGUACAAGCACAAGAGCAUAACAUGGC